ACGCUCGACACCUACGGGAGGCAGCAGUGGGGAAUAUUGGGCAAUGGGCGCAAGCCUGACCCAGCAACGCCGCGUGAAGGAAGAAGGCCCUCGGGUUGUAAACUUCUUUUGUCAGGGACGAAGCAAGUGACGGUACCUGACGAAUAAGCCACGGCUAACUACGUGCCUGCAGCCGCGGUAAUCUGAGCGGGCUGGCAAGGC
rnacentral:rRNA from 1 species